CUCCCGAUAUCAUUAACAUAUCUAUAAUUGCAUCACCACCAAUGAUUAAACCACUCAGAUUAUCUGAUCGGGUCAUUUAUCAUAAUUUCAAUAUUGUCAAACAUGAUGGUUGGUGUCUUAAUUCUGCAAACUGUCUAUCUGACAGGAAAUUAGAAGAAAAGAAAAGAGUGAAAAGUUAAUAACAUAGAGGCCCUUUUGACAUUUCAUCAUUUGUUAACUUGUCAUAACUGUCGAUAUUCCAAAGCACCUCCUCCUCAAGGAUCAAAGUUCAACAACAGAUAAGCAAUAAAAUAUCCAUCCAUCCAAUUCAUUUCUGCCUGCUAUCUUGGACCCGGUUGCAGCGGAAUAAUCCAGUUAUUCCAGACGUGCCUUCACCCCCCCCCCCCCCCCCCCCAAAAAAAAACAUAUCUUCUCCUGGAGGGAGGGAUGGACCCGACCAGAAGAGAUGUACAACCCCAGCGGCGUGUUCUGGGUCAACACCCGGGCCUCCGUCCCUCUAAAAAGGAGCCCUGCGGGGACCUCCCUCAUCGGCUGAAGGUGCCGGGAAGGAGCAGCGGCUCCACAUGGAGCCCCCCCCCCCUCCGGCUGUCUGAGCAGCUCACCCUGUUCCUGUGAAACUGAACCCCCCCCCGCCCCCCCUCCCCUUUGAUGGAAGCACACUCGACGAAAACGAAGACCGAGAGAAACUGGAACUACUUGGCUUUGCACAACAAUCCACUCCAGACCCAAAAUGGUCAGUGUCCGACCUCCUGGAGAUGCUGAGUGGGAAAAUCUCACACUGAAUGAGGAAGAGUGAAGAACGAUGAUGGUCAUGAAAUUGUGAAUUGCGAUCCUGUGUUUGCAUCAAUUCAUUGCUGAAAAUGUUUGAAAUAAAACAAUUUGCCGGUGUGACAGUAAACACCAAAUAAAGCAAUAUGAGAAUUCACUUUGUCAUUUAUAGUUGGAUCACAGUUAAUAUCUUAGUUUGAAACAGCGGAGAAUCGUCACUGGAUUAAAAAGAGCGCAGUUAAAUUGAUCCCAUCAAUUCCAGGUAUGAUUGGCUGUGACACAACUGCUAAAGAGAAUCCGUCUCGCUCUCUUCUUAUUCUCUGAUCUCUAUUUCACCAGCUUACGCUGUACGGAGGACGUUCAGGCAACACUGCGGAUCUCCUUAAAAUAUACAACAUAAUACACGCCAUGCACAACUCAUUCCUAUUUAAAAACAUAAAGCUGUUUUUCAAAGCCAACGUUAUGAUUAAUUAAGCCUUUUACUGUGUGUGAAAUGUUCUGAUCCACUGGUUUCCACAGAUGAAUGAAUCUGCCACACAUUCAUUGUUGUUUCCCCUGCAGAAUCCACUUCUGGCAGGUGAGGUGUGAUUGACUGAAUCUGAUUGAUUGAAGUGCUUGAUUAAUAAAGCUUGGGGAAGACUGUGGUGCCGGCUUCAAAUAGCGAAAGAACCAGCAGCCUAUUAACUAACACCUCACAUUGGAUGCAUGAAGGGAACUCCAGCUCUUACCAGAGUCAAAAGAGAGGUAUUGAUUCCAACCGAUCACCUGAACAAGUGAUUGCAGUUACUCUCCACUAAUUGACUUCUGCUUUUAUCAGCAUUCACAAAAGCAUAAUUUCACUGCAAAAUCGUAUGAAAACGGAUGGAUUGCCGUCUUUGCCGCUCUGAAUCUGAUCGCUGAAGGAAGGGAUGGACGUGCACAGGUCACCUCAGGGAGCCGCUUUCUGGCUUUCUAGCAUGUCAGUUGCCAGCUGUUCACCAAUCAGCCCCGUUUUCAGCCCUUUCGUCGGCAAACAUCUGGAAACAAGUAAUUCUCCAAGACGCGUUGGUUUAUCUUAAAGACGGGCUGUCCCUGAGAAUAACAGCAACCAUUGUCAAUCAGGCACCCCGACAUGAUGUUAGACAGUCUUUGGACCUGCACCCAGGCCACCGAUGGGAGUCUAUAUAAUGUCUCCAAAAAACACUGUAUGUUUGCUUUUGUGAAAGAAAAAAGGAGCCUGUCAUGCGGCAACCAGCUGCUUGAGUGAGAUGGAUGGAUAAACAUUGUCGUUCUCACACACACACACAUUCUUUGCUCUUUGUUUCAGCCCUUAUUUCUCAUUUCAUCUCUCGCCUCUGUUGCUCGUCCCUGGUUUCUCUCUCUCUUCGCUGCCAUCUCUUUAGUGGAAGGAGCUGUAGGCUCAGUGUGGCCUUCAGGUUCUUGGAUGGACCCGUGCUCGCGGGUCGCUUCUUUUUUACGAUACGGCCUCCUUAAUGAGACCCGUUCACGUUUGUUCUUCUUCUAGCUCGUGGGACGGGAACUGUGUGUUCCUGAGGUCUGCAGGACACAGAUAACGGGUUCCCCGCUUUCUGUCUCAGGAAUAUCGUGAAUUCAGACACAGCAGCCGCUCACGCAAGAGCUGACGCACGCACACACACACACAGACGCACUAAUGCAGUUCAUACUGCUCAUGCACCCACACACAACACACAUCAAAGUGAAACGAGCUUUUCUUGAUAUUACUGAGGGUGCCGGCGGUGGCGUCCUGGAAGUCGGGGAUACAGAGACAAAAGAAGAAAAAGGCGAACGCAAAGGAGAAGGAAUAGACAGAGAGGCGUUAACAGUUGACAUCCAACGCGAGCAGCUAUCUGACGACGAAAAGGUAUAUUUCAUUGCCACGGCGUCCGCUGCAGAGCUUCCUUUGCGGGUUCGGCUUUUCUGUCGUGUGCGUGUAUUUGAAUGCUACCUUAUGCGUGUACAUUCAUGCGUGUGCAAUACUAAAUCUUUUGACACAUAUCAAACUAAAUUGUUGUGUAGUUCAUUGAUUGUCUUUUUUCUGCUACGUCGACGUGUGCAUCUAUGUGUGUGUGUGUGUGUGUGUGUGUGGGUGGAAAGGUGCCAUAACAGCACCAUCUGCCUCUGUCCUACCCCAUCUGUGUGUGUGUGUGUGUGUGUGUAUCCAUACAAGUGCACAGGUGUGCACCACUGUUGCAUGUGUGCGCCCGUGCAUGCCGAUGUGGCACCGCUCUCGUUUACCACGCUCUCUCUCUCUCUCUCUCUCACCCGCUUUCUGCCGCCCUGCUGCUGCAUCCAUCGCGCCGCUCUGCCUCAUACGCUAACAGUCUGAUUAGGGAUUUGUUUGCCUCCCGGCGGUUUGAACCAAUCAAGAGCUGGUUUAACCGAGAGCGCUCGCACCUGUCCUGACAGGAAUGAUAAGGGCCGCGGCCAAUCACCGGCGCUCGGCCUCAUUGCCGCGGCGAUAAGCCCACGGUGGCGCGUGAGUUAGGUAUUGCAUUCAGAUGGCUGUUAACUCAAGAGGAAGACCUCCCCAGGGUACCAUGUGACGGACAUGUUCUAGACAUGUAGCUUUUUCUUUCUGUUUUAUUUUACAUACUUAAUCAUAAUUAUUCCAUUUCUUUAUCAUUAUUAUCAUAUAUAAUUUUUUUUUUACGCCAGUUUGCUCAAGCUUAGUUGGUUUACCACGUGUGUCAAGCUGUAAAAACUGCACAUUAUUUUCAAACUUUUUUGUAAACAAAACAACAUUUUCUUGGCUCUCCUUUUGCAGCAUCCACCGUACUUAUUGCUAAACCAUGAUUCCUUCUGUUGAGGAAAUACUCGCGUAGAGACCGAACAGUAAAUGAAAGGCAAAGAAACAGAAAUAGCGAUGCGGGAGGUGAAGGCAGAGGGGCUGCCGGCGAACCCACACACCUCCGCCUUUCAUCAGCGCCGAGUGCGUGGGCGACGGUGGCGUAUGUUGGUUUCUAUUCGUCUGAAACCUCUGACUCGCUCUUAUUAAUACAGUCACACCUUUAUUUAUUCAUUAUUAUGCUCAUAUUUUAUUCAUCUCUUGUUUCAUUUCAUUUUUAUUUACAGCAGCGCUUUCAGCUGAAAGCAUCGUCAAAUGAAUGGUGGAGUUUGAUCAAACAGUGACAGGCACAGUGGGGUGUGUGUGUGUGUGUGUGUGUGUGUGUGUGUGUGUGUGUGUGUGUGUGUGUGUGUGUGUGUGUGCGGACUGUCAUUAUUUCCAUUUCAUGUUUUUUGCAUUGGUAUGCCAUCUCUCCUCUUUUGAUCCACGUAUUAAAGAUGAAAGAUGAAGGUGUAGCCAUUUCUGUAGCAAUGAAGACGAUUGUUGCCAUGGAGAUGAUGGGCAACCUGGAUGUUUGCUAUUGCUGCAGGUCCCCGAGAGGAGUCACAGCAUUUUGGGUUUCUACUCCCUUUUUUUAUAAAAAUUGCAAAAAAUGAAAAUUGUCAUGAAAAAAUACUUUUACCCGCUGAUAACUAUUAAAAAUACUAAUAAAGAAAAUGAAAUAAUAUUUCUGCUGUGCGUUUGGGCCCAAAAGAAUAGAAACCAAUUAAAUGAGCGUUCUAUAAUGGUUACUGGGUUCCUAAAUUCAACACUUCCGACUUCCACAUUCUGUAUCUAAACUUCAAAGACAAAGUUAAAUUGAAUUUAAAUUUUUCUGUUCAUCCAUCCGCUCAAAACCGCUCUAACGCUACAUGUGGACAUGCAACCGUUCACAUCCAUCCCUGCACUUGUUGUAAGGGCUGCAAGGCCAGGUGCCACCUGUCCAUCAGGACUCCCACCGAACGUGCUUCACCACUUAGUCACAGUCGCCCUGACAGAAAAGCGCUAUGCUGGGUAAUUACUGCCAUGUAAGAAAGUCAACGUGUGGAAGAACUGCAGCAGUGAUAUCAUUUAUUCCUGAGGAGGAAGAAGUCGUUCUUCCAUUUUGAUAAAAAAGUUCAGCUCUCUUGGGAUAAACUCAAUCUUCAGACAGACAUUUUUUGUACUUUUACUGCAGAAGUCAGUUUGAAGCUCUUCAUUAUUCAGAAUGACAACAGUCAUUGUAUCUGAAAAGUUACAGAGUUCAACACUGGGUUGGAUUUUUGCAGACGACAAUGCAGCUAACAAAAAUCAUUAUUCUCAAAAACAGCAUUAUGGAAGUGAUAAGGUAUGUAAAAGCUGGUCAAAAUGUCUUCACUCUUGACUACAGAGAAAGAUUUAAAAUAAGAAUAUUCAUUUUAGAUGAAUUCUUCUGAACGUCUACCAGGACGGAGAAAUCACCAGGCUGUUGUUGCUAAAUAUUCCAAUCUGUUCACUACACAAGCUUCAUUCAGAGAGCAUUUUAAUCACCCACCCACCAUUUUUAAAUCAACCAAUAUUUACUCCAUUUUCAAAUCAUUGCGCUUAUAGCCUGCACAAAAUAUUCAAGCAUGCCUUUCUCUGGUGUGGUGGCGCAUUUUGAGUCAUUCACAGAUCAGAGUUGAGAAAAAUUGGAGAAAAUUAGCGACCGUCUCCAGACAGUUUGAUAGUUUCAACCAUGAGUGAGGCGGCUGUUAUAGAUCUGGUCAUUCACACUGUUGGGUGGAUGCAGCAUUAACACCGAAGACGACAACAGCUGAUGUCCCAUAAUGCACUGAUUUAAAAUAGCCACCAACAGCUUGUUUUAUAUUACAUUCUGUAAAAAAUCAAAGCUUUCAUAUUGGUGCAAUUACAAUUUGGUUUGGACGAUUCCAUGACCAUCUUCCUCUUUAGGGUCGGGUGGCUACAGAGCUCGUCUGUGUGCUUCAUAUAACUGCAACACGUUCUCGCUCAUUCGCGAUGGUGAUAAUCGUAACCACAUGUGGCCGUCGCGGGGCCCCGUUACAUUCGGCAGUCAUGAAGUCAAUUUGUUCGACAGCCUCCACGAGAAAACAACAGGCGCCGCAGACUUCACUGGCUUUUCAAGUGCCGCGCAGGAAGAGAGCGACGGAUACGAACCUUUGGAAGUAGAGCGGUUUACUUCUCUCCCCCAAGGGAGGUGCUUUCUGGUUAUGGUAUCAGACGUCUGGUGUCUUUUGUGUUAAAAGGUCUGUCCAGGGACGCGACACAAUGCUGCAUAUUGUCAAAUGUAGUCAGGCUCAAUGAAUAUGCACUUUCUUGUUUCUUGUUCUUCUGGGUUUGUAUCUCUAUGGAUGAAUGCACUUAUUGUAAGACGCUUUGGAUAAAAGCGUCGGCUAAACGACAUGUAAUGUAAUAUUUACUUAUUAAUUACCCAAAUUGUGUAUGCCAGUCAAACUGAACAGUAUUAACUUCCUCACUGAAUACCAGGGAAUUUUUUCUCAAAAUGAUGGAGGGUUAUCAAUGUUGAACAUGGAAGAGCGUAUCUCACGUAUCAAAGUCCCACACACCCCCAUCUUUCCCAUCCGCAACCACCACCACCAGGGUGGGGGGAACACGCAUUGCAGCAUCUAUAUGAGCCUUAGCAUUGAUAACAAGUUUUUGUUUAUUUCAAAUCAGAGAUUUUCUUAAAUUUUAUGACCGUGGAUGUAGAAUAAAAUAAAAGUUUUAUAGACACACAUUUAUAUUGAGAAGAAUUGAGCACAAGGAUUCUGCUUUUGCAACUAUGCGCAUUCAACACACACACACACACACACACACACGCGUAAAUACGGCUAUAUUAAAACGAUGUCCUGGCAUGGGGCUCUCCUCUCCAUCUUAUUGGACGGUUUCAUUUUUUAUUUCUGUUCCUGUGAUUUAUCGGGCCAACGAGCUGCUAUUAGUUAGCUUAAAAAUUGUCCGCGCCCUGAGAAAUACCGGCCUUCAUUGGACCAGACGCGCUCCAACGUCUCCCUUCCUGCAGCUGAGUGAGAAAAAAAAAGAAUUAACUUACACAUCGUCUGCACUCGCAGACACUUCUUGCCCUAAUCAGGUUUAUUCUCUGCCGUCAUUUAUCUUUCCUCCUCCCUCAAACCCAACAGCGUGAAAUGAAGGAAGGAAUUAGAAUUCCUGAUUUGAUGAAGCUUUAUCACAACUGUGUUUGCUGCGGGAUUUAACAUUUAUAGUUCAGUGAGUAGAGUGUCACAGCACAGGUGGCACUGAGGACGUCUGGGAAAAUGAAUUAGCACUCAGGCUUGAAGCUGCUCCAACGCUGCUGCUGGUUGCGGAUGACAAAACUCGAGCUGUGUUGUAGUUUUACUCGCCCCGCGUGGCGUCGGGGGGGCCGUGAUCCCGUCACGGCGUCCUAGCUCCUUCGCGUUGGCCCCCGUCGCUUAAUGUUCGGCAACAAAUCCGUACGGAAAUGACAACCUUGUGACCGCGACACAAUCGUUAGCGUACGCGCGGUGACACUGAUUAAGUGUCACCGCGCUGUUAGGAAGUGGCUAAUGAAGCCAGCGUGCAGAGCUGCCACAAUUAGCCAGUUUAUUAAAAAAUGAAAUAGGUCGCCGCCGACUUUGAUGGUUGAAUUAUAAUUUCUUCUUUCUUUCUGAAAAACCAAACAAAUGCUUAUUCUGAGAUUUUACACAAAAGGAAUUGCUUUGGUGUGCUGACACAUAGACAAUAAAAUACACAAAGGAGAUACAAAUAAGUACAAUCAAAAAUGCAUAAACAUGCACGAUGUAACCAUUUGAAAGAAGGCAGGACAGUUCAAAGAUUGACUUCGGGGACACUUUGAAGAAAAUCCGAGUCAGAGAGACAACAGCCCAGAAAGAUGCGCUGGGCCUUGUUGACGAGGUCGGCUGCUACGUGCUGUGCGAGGUUCUGGUCCCGGUGGAGCCUCCUGUGCGAGCAGAGGGAAAUAGCCGGUGUCCGGGGCGGCGCGGCGAACGACGCGCGCUGCAGUCUGACCGCGUCGUUCGCCGGCGCAGCGGCGUGACAGCUGGCGGAGUCGGAGGUGAAAAUGGAUCGUUGGCAGACUGAACGUCCUGAAGCACGUCCUCGGCUUUGCUUCUCCGAGGAGGACGGCAGAUUGUUUGGCUCCCACUUGGGGUGCCGGGUGAUGAUGGGGGCCCAAUAAGGCCAGGGGCUCCAUGCUGCUGAGGGAGGUGAAGGCCACAGAUGGAUAAUCUCCCACCUGGUGGUGGAGUCAACUCCACCAACGAGGGCUGAGUCGUCCCAGAGCCGGAUUAUGGAUUAUGGUCAUCAGAAAAACUGCUUUCCAAAUGCAGGCGGAGCGGGAUCUUUUUUAUUUAGGGGUUUGGGGAAUAUAGUGAAAGUGUCGAGUGUCCAGGGAGGCUUUGUUACUGUAAUGAUGGUUUUUUGGUCAGAUAUUUGGGCUGUGGAGAAUAAUGGAGGGCAACUCCACAUUUGACAGACAAGACGAUUACUCGAUCGUUGCAGAAAUCCUCGCGUUAAUCAACGAUUCAAUAAAAUCCACCCUCUUAAGGCCACAUUUUGCCUUCUCCUUUCUUUUUUGAUGGCCACAUGAUGGCAGCAAGAAAUAGAAUAGUGGGCGAUGAUUUACACGUAAAAGAGUAAAAAGAAAUUGAGCUGUGAAAAUGAUAAAAACAUAAACAAAGGGGAGAGAACAGAUGAGCUGAAGAUAAAGCUAAAUAGAGAAGAUGAAAUGGAAAGAGAGGACAGUGAAAGGAGCAGAAGGGAGGAAAGGCAGGUAGCACACAGAGAAUGACUUAUACUAACAAUAAAAUACACUCACAUAUCAAAAUAAAAUAGGUACUAAACAGAACAAUUUUAAGUUAACGUAUAAAAGAUAUCAGAAUCAGAAACGUAACUUCAAACACACACACACACACAGACACACACAAACAAUGUCUGGUCUCUGGUGCAUUUUAGCUGGCGCGCGUCACACAAAAUUGCAGAGCGCCCGAUACCGGACAAAAUGGUCAACUUAUUACACUUU
ensembl:lncRNA